CGUUACUUCAUCUAAACCAGUUGCCUAACAACGAGAGGAGGGGAGAAGGUUGGAAAAAACUGGAAGAAAUAAGUUGCAGGUUUUUUACAGAGGUGCGUUUGAUUGAUGCUUCUUAUAUUACCAUCAUUUAAUUAUAAUUAUUACAUAUUAUCAAUGGCAGAUCAAAAACGGAGGAUAUGAAAAGAUCGCCGUCGCCAAACCCGAGCUCUUUUACAUCCAAUCUUCUUGGAGGGAGGUUUUGUCUUUGUUCUCCGACGACGCAUCCCGGCUCUUUCCGACGACGCUUGCAACCACCGUAACGAAAACAAACAAUCAAAUCAUCGGGGUGCCAACACCAUCAAGAACUUUGUUCCCUCCUCCAAGACCGAAGAAAAUAUCUAUUACCUCAACUACUGCAACUAAAGUUUUUGAUUCCACCGGGGUGUCAUAAUCAAGAACUUUGUUCCCUCCUCCUCGACCAAGGAAUUUAUCUUCCGAAACUGAAUUUCUUGAUUCUACAGAGAAUAAAGAAACAACAUCACACUCCUGGCAAGAAUAAAUAAGAUGAAUUCAAAUUCAAAUUUUAUUUGAUUUUAUUUUUUUAAAUAAUUUCAAGCAUUUUUCUUCUUUAUUAAAUUCCAAUAUCGGCAUUAUAAUGUAAUCUGAAACACAGUAAAACAGUUGUUUGCUUAUGAAAUACUAUAAAUAUUGAUGAUCCUAUGAUAAUUAUUAGAAAGGUUUAAAAAACAACAUUUUCAGGAUAAACAGAGCUGUUGAUUCAUUAUUGGCAUCAAAGAUUUGCAACCAUUGCCAGUUUCUGAAGAAAGGAAAUAAAAAAAAAGAUAAGAAAACAAGAUUGAACUAACUUUCAACUUAUUUGCAAUCUGACCCAACAACCGCAUCCACCAAUUGAUCGAUCUUCUUGUCGGAAUUCUUGACGUCCACCACCUCCCCAUCUCCAGAUCGAUUAUCUCCGCCUUCGUCGCCGGAAUCGGAAAGGUCAAGGGACCGUGACCGACUGACGUAGAGGGGAACCGAAGUACUAAUGUGAGAUGCAGAUAUUAUGGACAUUGAUAGCGGUUAUCUGUGGUAUGAAUCGAGGGUGGUGCACGACUAGAUCCCGUGCGGGUUGAUUUUAUAUCCAAGGAAAUGUCCUUAUGUCACCUUGAACGUGCAUUUCUUGGCCUUCAAACGUAGGUCUGCCUUUCGGAUGUUGGCUAAAUUUAAUUUCUUAAUUUCAGGUUGGACAGGUGGUCUUGUUAUACAUUGGACUGGACUAAGAUAUCAUUUACGUAUACCUCGACAUUUCUUCCGAUCUGGUUCGCGAAGAUUCGGUCAAUUAACCUUUGGAAUGUUGUUCCCACAUUCCGGAGCCCGAACGGCAUUACCCGUAAAAAGAACGUGUCAUGCUCGGUUACGAAAGACGUUUUUUUCGGUCCUAAUUCGCCCAGUAUGCUGCCUCGGUUCGUGUCACCCCGGAGGGUCUCAUUAUCAUCCUAUGAGAAACCCAAGAGGGUUGUUAAUCUCUUCUUCGUU
rnacentral:lncRNA from 1 species